rnacentral:rRNA from 1 species
GAUGAACGCUGGCGGCGUGCCUAAUACAUGCAAGUCGAGCGAACAGAUGAGGAGCUUGCUCCUCUGACGUUAGCGGCGGACGGGUGAGUAACACGUGGAUAACCUACCUAUAAGACUGGGAUAACUUCGGGAAACCGGAGCUAAUACCGGAUAAUAUAUUGAACCGCAUGGUUCAAUAGUGAAAGACGGUUUUGCUGUCACUUAUAGAUGGAUCCGCGCCGCAUUAGCUAGUUGGUAAGGUAACGGCUUACCAAGGCAACGAUGCGUAGCCGACCUGAGAGGGUGAUCGGCCACACUGGAACUGAGACACGGUCCAGACUCCUACGGGAGGCAGCAGUAGGGAAUCUUCCGCAAUGGGCGAAAGCCUGACGGAGCAACGCCGCGUGAGUGAUUAAGGUCUUCGGAUCGUAAAACUCUGUUAUUAGGGAAGAACAAAUGUGUAAGUAACUAUGCACGUCUUGACGGUACCUAAUCAGAAAGCCACGGCUAACUACGUG